GAUGAACGCUGGCGGCGUGCCUAAUACAUGCAAGUCGAGCGAACAGACGAGGAGCUUUCUCCUCUUACGUUAGCGGCGGACGGGUGAUUAACACGUGUAUAACCGGCCGUUAAGACUGGGGUAACGUCGGGAAACCUGAUCUAAUAUCGGUCAAUAGAGUGAACCUGAUGGUUCUUUGGUGAAAGAGCUUUUUGCUGUCCCUUAUAGAUAUAUCCAGGGUGGAUUAGUUAGUUGGUAGGGGAACGGCUUACCAAGACUACGAUGCGUAGCCGACCUGGGAAGAUGAUCAGGCACACUGGAACUGGGACACGGUCCAGAAUCCUACGGGGGGCAGCAGUGGGGAAUAUUGGACAAUUGGCGAAAGCCUGAUCCAGCCAUGCCGCGUGGGUGAAGAAGGUCUUCGGAUUGUAAAGCACUUUAAGUUGGGAGGAAGGAAAGUAAGUGAAAACCUUGCUGUUUUGACGUUACCAACAGAAUAAGCACCGGCUAACUUCGUG
rnacentral:rRNA from 1 species